rnacentral:rRNA from 1 species
GAUGAACGCUGGCGGCGUGCCUAAUACAUGCAAGUAGAACGCUGAAGCUUGGUGCUUGCACCGAGCGGAUGAGUUGCGAACGGGUGAGUAACGCGUAGGUAACCUGCCUCUUAGCGGGGGAUAACUAUUGGAAACGAUAGCUAAUACCGCAUAAAAGUCGAUAUCGCAUGAUAUUGAUUUGAAAGGUGCAAAUGCAUCACUAAGAGAUGGACCUGCGUUGUAUUAGCUAGUUGGUGAGGUAACGGCUCACCAAGGCGACGAUACAUAGCCGACCUGAGAGGGUGAUCGGCCACACUGGGACUGAGACACGGCCCAGACUCCUACGGGAGGCAGCAGUAGGGAAUCUUCGGCAAUCGGGGGCAACCCUGACCGAGCAACGCCGCGUGAGUGAAGAAGGUUUUCGGAUCGUAAAGCUCUGUUGUAAGAGAAGAACGAGUGUGAGAGUGGAAAGUUCACGCCUG